CAGUAUAUGCGGUAAAGUCUGAAGGCCAUUUUCAAAUGGGUGACAUUAGAAUCAAGCCUCUUGAAGUAAAGCAAACAGAGAAGGAGUGAACAAAGCUGGUUUUAGAAUGGUAAAUUGUCUCCUAACCUGGAACUUCUUUCUGCCCGUGCAUACCCACAGCAUAUCACACCUGACCCCAAAGAUUCUGCUUUCCCUAGUGAGGCCAGCCUGCCUUAAAACACUGACUGUCCAAGGAACAUAUUGGCCCCUCAGAUGGAUGAGAAGUUCAGAAUGAUCACAAUGGAGGAGGCAGACUAGAGUGCUUUUAUGGACUGAAUGUUUGUGUCCACCCCCAAAUUCAGAUGGAGAAGCCCUAUCCUCAUGUGACAGUAUUUGAAGGUAGGACUUUUGGAAGAUAGCUAGGCUUACAUGAGAUCAAUGAGGCUGAGGCUUCCAUGUUGGGAUUAGUGUCCUUAUGAGAGGAAAAGAGACUAGAGCUCUGUCUCUCUUGGACUUUGCCACAUGAGGGCAGGGAAAUAGCCCUCGACAAGCCAGGAAAAGGGUUCUCCCAGGAAUUGAAUCUGCUUAGCCCCAUGGUCUUGGACUUUGAGCCUCUAGAACCGUGAGGAAUAGAUGUCUAUUGUUUAAGCCACCUGAUCUAUGGUAUUGUGUUAUAGCAGCCUGAGCUGAUGAAUACAAGCAGUUAUUCCAAAAGCUACUUAUUCUAAUUUAUUCACUGUAUGAUUCAUUAUUUCAGCCAUUCAUUCAAAGAUCCUUUGCAUUCAUUGCAUGUUUAUUUUAUGUCAUUCAUGGUGCCACAUGGGUCGUUAGGAUAGAAAUAACUAAAGUUUGCUGGCAGAGGCAGACAUAUUACCUAGAACAAUUACUUCAUGCACUAAAGAUUCCAACAGAGACGUAUGAAGUUUCCAGUAGAAUCACAAAGGAGGUAGUGUUAUAUUGUCUACAGUUUAGUUGUCUGUAGACAAGGUGACACAUACGUAUGUAAAUCACUUUAAGUUAGGAGCUAAGAAGAUUGGUUAACACCCAAAGAUUUCUAAUAAGAACUCCAGGUUCUAGGUGUGGUGAGUUACCUUUACCCAGAGAGGUUGGCACUCUAGAAAUGUGUGUUUCUAAUACUAGUACCAGACUAUGUUUAGGGGAG
rnacentral:lncRNA from 1 species